AUGGUGGGCUUGGGCGUGGGCGUCGGGACGGGGGCGUUGGGCUCCGUCAUCGGCAAGCUCGCCACCUUGCUCGGCCACGAGUACACGAUGCUCAAGAGGGUACGCAAGGACAUCGCCUUCCUCGAGCGUGAGCUCCGCAGGAUGCAGAUCCUGGUGGACACACUGGCAGACAUGGAAGAGCUCGACGAGCUGGCCAAGGACUGGAAGGGCACCAUGCGCGACCUCAGCUACGACAUGGAGGAGUGCAUCCACCGCUUCAUGCUCCGUCUUGGGAAUGGUGACGCCAAGCCCAGGUUCAGGAAGAAGACAGUGCGCCAGCUCAAGACUCUCUUUGAGCGCCAUGGAAUCGGCAGCCAGAUCAAGGAGCUCAAGGCCCGCGUUGAGGAGGAGAACCGACGGCGGCAGAGGCUAAACCUCGACAAGUAUAUUGUAAGUCCAACAAGGGUCGUGGCAAUAGAUCCCCGGUUAGCUGCGUUCCACGGAGUGGCCAAGGGCUUGGUGGCCAUAGACGGCCUUAGGGACCAGGUUAUCUCUUGGUUGACGGAGGAGAGCGAGCAGCUCAAGGUGGUCGGCUCUAUCAAAUGCUACCUUUGA
rnacentral:rRNA from 1 species